GAUCGCCUGGGUGUUGUGGUAGCACGCAUCUCCGGUAGGGAUGAACCGCGGGUUCAACUCCCGCCUAGCGUUCG